rnacentral:tRNA from 1 species
GGGUUUAUAUCUCAAACGGUUAGAGAGGUCGGCUCAUAUCCGACAGGUUGAAGGUUCGAAUCCUUCUGAACCCA